rnacentral:rRNA from 1 species
GACGAACGCUGGCGGCGUGCUUAACACAUGCAAGUCGAACGGAAAGGCCCUGCUUUUGUGGGGUGCUCGAGUGGCGAACGGGUGAGUAACACGUGAGUAACCUGCCCUUGACUUUGGGAUAACUUCAGGAAACUGGGGCUAAUACCGGAUAGGAGCUCCUGCUGCAUGGUGGGGGUUGGAAAGUUUCGGCGGUUGGGGAUGGACUCGCGGCUUAUCAGCUUGUUGGUGGGGUAGUGGCUUACCAAGGCUUUGACGGGUAGCCGGCCUGAGAGGGUGACCGGCCACAUUGGGACUGAGGUACGGCCCAGACUCCAACGGGAGGCAGCAGUGGGGAAUAUUGCACAAUGGGCGGAAGCCUGAUGCAGCAACGCCGCGUGCGGGAUGACGGCCUUCGGGUUGUAAACCGCUUUCGCCUGUGACGAGGCGUGAGUGACGGUAAUGGGUAAAGAAGCACCGGCUAACUACGUG